UCAUUUCAAGUUGAAACACCUGUUCUCGUACGAUCCAGGAAGUUAAGCAAUAUCGAGACUGGUCAAUAUCUAGAUGGGUGACCGCUUGGGAAUACCAGGUACUGUAAU